rfam:Pan troglodytes isolate Yerkes chimp pedigree #C0471 (Clint) chromosome 19, whole genome shotgun sequence.
AUUGCUUCUUGGCCUUUUGGCUAAGAUCAAGUGUAGAAUCCUCUGGCUCUGGGAGUCCCCUGGGCUUCUGCAAAAGCCCUGAUCAUUCUUGCCUGUUCUUUCCCCAUCCCCGACCACUCUGGGAUGCCAUUGUUUGGUGAUUAUCUAUUUCCUCCACUGGAAAUAGAACUCUUU